CUCCUACGGGAGGGCAGCAGUGGGGAAUUUUGGACAAUGGGCGCAAGCCUGAUCCAGCAAUGCCGCGUGUGUGAAGAAGGCCUUCGGGUUGUAAAGCACUUUUGUCAGGGAAGAAAAGGAUGGCCCUAAUACGGUUGUCUGAUGACGGUACCUGAAGAAUAAGCACCGGCUAACUACGUGCCAGCAGCCGCGGAAUUC
rnacentral:rRNA from 1 species